rnacentral:rRNA from 1 species
GACGAACCGAGCGAACGUUGUUCGGAAUCACUGGGCUUAAAGGGCGCGUAGGCGGGCUGUCAAGUCUGGGGUGAAAUCCCACGGCUCAACCGUGGAACUGCCUUAGAUACUGACAGCCUCGAGGAAGGUAGGGGCAUGCGGAACUGUAGGUGGAGCGGUGAAAUGCGUUGAUAUCUACAGGAACUCCGGUGGCGAAAGCGGCGUGCUGGACCUUUUCUGACGCUGAGGCGCGAAAGCUAGGGGAGCAAACGGG